AGAAACUUUCACUAGCUCGAACAAAAUUCACCUGUAUUUACAAAUUAACCACGGUCCACGGUUGCAUGUUACAACAAUCUCACAGAUCUUUCCGAUGCUACCAAAAAUCACGCAUGCUACGAACAAGAAGAAACCAAAGGAGCGAGCAAGCAAUGUGUUACAAAGGGGGAGGGGGAGAGAGAUCCUAAGCUAAUCUAGCGAGGGGCGGCAUGCAGUUGCCACCACGAGCAUGCACGACGGACCGCAGCUUGAUAGCUAGCGCCUUCUCGAUCGCGCAGGGACGGAGUCGGAGAUGGUGGUUGUCGUCCGCCGUGGAUGCGCGCGUCUCAGUCGGAGAUGCUGAGCAUGGCGUAGCGGACAUACUCGUCGACGCCGCCC
rnacentral:lncRNA from 1 species